ACUGGAUAGGAAACACAAAGGCAUCUUUUUGUUUUUAAAAGACCUUCUUACGAAGGUAUGCUUAAAGAGGGGCUUGCGCCACAUUAGUUAGUUGGUAGAGUAAAAGCCUACCAAGACGAUGAUGUGUAGCUGGACUGAGAGGUUGAACAGCCACAUUGGGACUGAGACACGGCCCAAACUCCUACGGGAGGCAGCAGUAGGGAAUUUUCGGCAAUGGAGGAAACUCUGACCGAGCAACGCCGCGUGAACGAUGAAGUAUUUCGGUAUGUAAAGUUCUUUUAUUGAAGAAGAAAAAGUAGUGGAAAAACUAUAUUGACGUUAUUCAAUGAAUAAGCCCCGGCUAACUAUGUGCCAGCAGCCGCGGUAAGACAUAGGGGGCGAGCGUUAUCCGGAAUUAUUGGGCGUAAAGGGUGCGUAGGCUGUUAGAUAAGUCUAUAAUUUAAUUUCAGUGCUUAACGCUGUCUUGUUAUAGAAACUGUCUUGACUAGAGUGAGAUAGAGGCAAGCGGAAUUCCAUGUGUAGCGGUAAAAUGUGUAAAUAUAUGGAGGAACACCAGAAGCGUAGGCGGCUUGCUGGGUCUUUACUGACGCUGAGGCACGAAAGCGUGGGUAGCAAACAGGAUUAGAUACCCUGGUAGUCCACGCCGUAAACGAUGAGUACUAAGUGUCGGGGUAAAACUCGGUACUGAAGUUAACACAUUAAGUACUCCGCCUGAGUAGUACGUACGCAAGUAUGAAACUUAAAGGAAUUGACGGGACUCCGCACAAGCGGUGGAUCAUGUUGUUUAAUUCGAAGAUACACGAAAAAUCUUACCAGGUCUUGACAUACUCUGCAAAGCUAUAGAAAUAUAGUGGAGGUUAUCAGGGAUACAGGUGGUGCAUGGUUGUCGUCAGUUCGUGUCGUGAGAUGUUAGGUUAAGUCCUAAAACGAACGCAACCCUUGUCGUUAAUUGCCAGCACAUAAUGGUGGGGACUUUAACGAGACUGCCAAUUAAACAUUGGAGGAAGGUGAGGAUUACGUCAAAUCAUCAUGCCCCUUAUGAUCUGGGCUACAAACGUGAUACAAUGGCUGUGACAAAGAGUAGCUGAAACGCGAGUUUUUAGCCAAUCUCAAAAAAGCAGUCUCAGUUCGGAUUGAAGUCUGUAACUCGACUUCAUGAAGUUGGAAUCGCUAGUAAUCGCGAAUCAGCAUGUCGCGGUGAAUACGUUCUCGGGGUUUGUACACACCGCCCGUCAAACCACGAAAGUUAGCAAUGCCCGAAAGCAGUAGCUUAACUUCGCAAGAAGAGGGAACUGUCUAAGGUAGGGUUGAUGAUUGGGGUAAGUCGUAACAAGACU
rnacentral:rRNA from 1 species